AACGCGAAGAACCUUACCCUGUAUGGCGACCGACGACGCCGGGACGUAGAUCGGCUUCAUAGUUGCGUUGGCAGGCUGCAGCCGGACCCGGUCGCCGGCCUCUUUGUAAAAACGUUUGAGUGUAGUUUCCGUGCCAUCGACCAGAGCCACCACGAUCUCGCCAUCGCGAGCUGUGGCGGCGCGCUCGACCAGCACGUAAUCGCCGUCGCAGAUGUGAUCUUCGACCAUCGACUCGCCACGCACCUGCAAGGCGAAAGUAUUGGGGUCGGCGGUGAAGUCGGCGAAACUGACGGUGUCGUUCCCGGGCCUUGUACACACCGGCUAC
rnacentral:rRNA from 1 species